rnacentral:rRNA from 1 species
UAGGGAAUAUUGCUCAAUGGGGGGAAACCCUGAAGCAGCAACGCCGCGUGGAGGAUGAAGGUUUUCGGAUUGUAAACUCCUUUUGUUAGAGAAGAUUAUGACGGUAUCUAACGAAUAAGCACCGGCUAACUCCGUGCCAGCAGCCGCGGUAAUACGGAGGGUGCAAGCGUUACUCGGAAUCACUGGGCGUAAAGAGCGCGUAGGCGGGGUAGCAAGUCAGAUGUGAAAUCCUAUGGCUUAACUAUAGAACUGCAUUUGAAACUGUUACUCUAGAGUAUGGGAGAGGUAGGUGGAAUUCUUGGUGUAGGGGUAAAAUCCGUAGAGAUCAAGAGGAAUAC